UCCGUUCGGGUCCGUGGUUGCGUCACAGAGACGAGUUCUCCGUGGCUAGCCGAUGCCAGUCGCAGGCGAAACGGUCCACGUAAGUCCACGGACGGUGCGCUCUCGAGCGCAGGGUCCGCAGGACGAUCACGGUGCGGCUUAGAAGUAAGUCCUGCCCCGUCCCCGGCACCAGAUGUGCCGGACGCCGGGAGAAGGCCAGUAGUGGCGGAGAAGCUGCGAACGUCUCAGCAGGCGGUUGUGGGGUCGAAGACCAGGUCGGCCGGACGGG
rnacentral:ncRNA from 1 species